UGUGUGUGUGUGUGUGUGUGUGUGUGUGUGUGUGUGUGUGUGUUUGUGACCUGUCCAAGAUUUAGCAAUGUAGAAGACUUUAUGUUAAUGAAUGGGUUAGGUGUCUGCGUCAGGAGAGUGUGUUUGUGUGUGUGUGUCUGUGUGUGUGUGUGUGUGUGUGUGUGUCUGUGUGUGUCUGUGUGUGUGUGUCUGUGUGUGUCUGUGUAUGUAUGUUUGAGUGUAUGAGGGUGGGUGAGAGUGAAGGGGAAACAAAUCCAUCUGUAGUAGUAGCUAUAGUAGAAGGAACUCCGACAAGACAAAAUGAGCAGGACUGGCUAGCAUCAGUGCAGCGACAGGGCAAAGAGGACUGGCUGGCAUCAGUGCAGCGACAGGGCAAAGAGGACUGACUGGCAUCAGUGCAACGACAGGGCAAGCAGGACUGGCUAGCAUCAGUGUGGCGACAGAGCAAGCAGCGCGUAGCCAAAGCGCCUGUGUGGAGUCCCACCUGUACCUGGUAGUGUCCAGACACCAGACCAACACUGUCUGUCUUUCUAUCACACACAAACAAACACAUACUCAUGCUGUAGUUGGAAAGGCAACAGACCACCUGUUUGCGGACUCCCCAGCACAAGGCAACUUUGUGUGUGUGUGUGUGUGUGUGUGUGUGUGUGUGUGUGUGUGUGUGUGUGUGUGUGUGUGUGUGUGUGUGUGUGUGUGUGUGUGUGUGCGCAAGAGUUGUACACCUUGGGCCAGCAGGAAGGAGUGCAGUUUCACCUCUUCAAUUCUCUAAUGACCCCCCAUAACCCCUUGCCCCCGCCCACACACACACACACACACACACACACACACACACACACACACACACACACACACACACACACACACACACACACACACACACACACACACACUCCCUCACAGUGUGCAGUGCAUUUUAAUGACUUUGCAUUGCCAGAGAGCAGGACCAAGCCUGGUGGGCCAUGUGCCACUGCCCGCUGCCUGUGGAUUCUGGGCCUGCUCCCAAAGCCCGUGCUGGAACAAGCCCGACACCAGUCACCACGGUGGUGAAGGACAAGCCAGCCGGACAAAAGGGAACCUUUAAUAAUCCAAAAACUGAUUUCAGAAUGCAUACAGAACGGACAUCUGUUCCGGUGUCCAGUCCCCGCCCUCACCUCUGGAAUCGGAUUGGAUUGAGGAGAGGGGUCUGUGGGUUCUGUUUUUCCAAGGUCACAGAAACAGGACAAGGUCACCGACAACCCUCUGCUCAGUCUCCAGGAUGAAAAAGAAAUGAUGCGUCAUGAAAACUGUUCUGAUGACCAAGCUGUUUUGUGUGGAAAAAAAAGGGAGAUCGGAAGAGCACACGUCAGAAC